rnacentral:rRNA from 1 species
UGCUAGAGCCAUAUCUCCCUGCAGUUCUCGCCUGGUUUCCCACUGAAGCUAAGCAGGUUUGAGCCUGGCCAGUACCUGGAUGGGAGACCUCUUGGGGUAAACUAAGGGUGCUGGUAG